UUAAGUGCUUCUCCAGCUCCUCCUCUCCUCAUCCUCCAAACCCUCUAAUCUGUCAGCAGUAAACUCACUUUCCAAGUUACAAGGCCAUUCUCAGCACACAGUGACACCAUGCUGGGGACCCUCUGCACUCUCAUCACUGCUCUAACAUGUGUGAGUGGUGUGACGGUGGUGACACAGAAGCCUCCUGUUGUGACGGUGAGGAGAGGAGAGACAGCCACCAUGGACUGUAACCUGGGGACUGUUACUAACAGUGCUGCACGCUGGUACAAACAGAUUCCUGGAGGAGUUCCUCAGUUUGUUUUAUAUUUUAUCACAGCGAUAGCUCUCCAACCUAUGGAUCUGGUUUCUCCUCUCCAAAGUUCACAGCUACUCAUCAGUCAACAUCAGAUUAUCGUUUGACCAUCAACAAUGUGGAGGAGGGAGACUCAGCAGUCUAUUACUGUAACACAUGGGACAGCUCUGUUAAUGAGGAGGUAUCACAGUGAUUUACACUGUGACAAAAACCUCCUCACAAGUACUUCUGCUUUUUCAGUCUCUGACACUUCUGAUAACAGAGCCAUCAAACAACACUCUGUGUAAUAACACACUAUGUACUGUAGGAAGUAAUAUACUUUAUAAUAUCAAAGUCAAAAUACUCUUUGGAUUUCUACAUGGAUCUUUAAAACAUAUCUUUAAUUACACUUUGCAUACCUGCUCAAUUAAUGAAAAUAAAACUUAGCAAAGCUCCAGUAAAUGUA